GAUGCAUCCUGGGCUGCAGCGUUCCAAGCCCAGGGAGGCUGCUGGGCUGGCACACUUCCUUGCAGGCUCUCUUGUAUCCAUCCACCUGCACCGGAGAGCAGGGACACUGCUUGCAGGGCAUCAGCUCAGAACGGGUGUCCCAGGCUCAGGGCUUGGAGAAGCUGGGGCAGCUUGAGAAAGGAAAACCAAAGAAUGUUGGACUCCAAGGCCACAGGGACUGAUGGGACAGGAUCCCUGGUUGGCUUGGGCAGCCUGCCCGGUCACCUGUCCUUGUAGACUUGGAAGUCCACGGAUACGCCUGAUGCAGGUGGACGGCUCCCUGCCCUGCUCUGAGCCUGAGCAAAUGCCCUGGGGAUCUGUUCUGUCACUGACCUAAACCACAGCCCCUGAAUGCAUCCAGCUCCCUGGAGAGCCCCUGAUAGACGGAUGGCCUAUGACCCUGAGCCACUGUACCUGAGAAGUCCCUGGCCACAGGGGGUGCAGGCAGGCUGGGGAAGGACAGGCUGCCCAGCGGUUUCUGUCCUUGUGCCCUUGCACAGCCCGAGCCUGCAGCCCUGUGCUAACGGCAGGUCCCUCACUGCAUUAGACUCUGUGCUUGCGGUUCAGAGUGGGGCCCACCGGGGGAUCCUUGCUGAGGCCUGGCCAGCCAGAGAGACUGAGAAGGCCCUGUGUGUCCUGAGCUUUGGUAGUUGACAGUGUGGGGCAGCUCUCCUUAACUGUUGGGGUGGCUGGUGGCUACUGCCAGGCCUGGCUGGUGGGAGGGAAUCGGGAGGGCCCAGGUGUACAGUUUCAGCUGUCCCUGCCGAGAGCUUGCACGGAUACCUUGGUGGCUUCUUUGUCAUAGAAUUCAGUACAGUGGGGCCCAAAAUUAUACCAAAAACAGUCCUAAAACUGUUUUCCUACAUUGAGAAAGCAGCACUGAUUCUAGACACUGCCUUGACCUCUGGCCUAAGUCCUCCUACCUGACGUGAGGGAAUGUUAGAUGGGGCUUUGUAAUAAGCCUGCUUGUAGGAAGGUCCACGCCCUGCCCUCUGCAGGGGCCUGGGCUAGUGGCGGGUGGCAGUAGGAGCUAGCAUAAAACACUAUUAAGAAACUCCCCUUGCGCUCCUUCCUCCUGGGAAGGAAGUGGUCAGGGUCCUGGGCUCUGGAGUGGGCAGCCAACAUGUGCACUCCAUGCUGAGCUUUUCCAGUCCUGGCUUGCAUACGGGUGCCUUUGCAGGCAGGUGACUUCCUUGCUCUAUGCCUGGGUUUCCCCAGGCUUAGGAAAUCCUCAUGAGACAGGAGGGUUAAAUGAACCAAGCCAUGUGAAGCACAGGAGGGUGCCAGCAUACUCCCCAUCACCAGCCCUGGCCUAGGAUGAUGAUGCCUGCAGACCUGUAGCCUCCUCCCAAAUAUGAAGGGCAGAGGAAGCUGUUCUGUGACCUUUUGCUCAGAAUCUUUGUGAACGGACACGUGUUGCAGGAGAACCAUGGGAUAGGGCAAGGUGACAACAAUAUGGGCCCCGUCACACCCCACACUGCCAGUGAAUGUGGAGGAGACAGCCCUCAGGAUGCACCCUGUGGGUAUCGCUCGCCCUGGGAGCUUACAGUCAGACCAUGGAGGCUCGGAGAAUGCACGGUCAGACUGUGGAGGCCUAGGGAGCUUACAGUCAGACUGUGAAGGCCCAGGGAAUGCACAAUCAGAUCACAGAGGCCCAGGGAGUGCAUGGUCAGACUGGGGAGGCCCAGGAAGCAUACAGCAGUCAGACCGCAGCGUACCGCUGGCUUUACAGGGUUUUACGGUCUUUAUGUUCUGGGUUUGGGUUUUGGUACCAACACAAUGAAUUUCCCGAUGUUUCACUAGGACUAAACUGGAGUAGAAACAUUCGCUUCCCUGGCCUAUAUUCACCGCUUUCAAAGGAACAUGGAUUGGCAAGGAGAACCUGCUCCAGGGGUCUUGGUUCUUUUCGGUUCAUAACCAUGAAAAUGUCUUGAGCCUGGGUGCGGCUGUGGAUGGGUGACGGGAGCCCAUCAGGCUAUCAGGAGUAUUUCACAUGCAGCGUUGGCAUCUUUCUUCCUAUGUCUUAUUUAAAAAGAGCCCAAAGUGCUAUCAAGCAGCCUGUUAAUAAUGAAUGUCUGUGAACAGUGAAGUGAACUUAGCUGAAACCCACGGCUAACUGAUAGAGUUUCCCAAUAGAAAUGGGCUUCCCCGUGUGGUUCAGAAGCAGCAGGCCUGGAGACAGACAGGGACUGGGUAUGGAGACGGUGACCACCUCCCUCAGCCCUCAGGCACCCGCGUACCUGUACAUGUGUGUGAGAGAGCGUGCAAUAGCGCCUGCGCUGCACAGAGCUGGCAGAAACAGAAGCCAGCGGAGGACUCCUCUGUACCAAGGUGGCUGAAUUUGUUUCACUAACAUCAUGGCAUUUUAUUUUCCUGUCUCUCUGAGGAAGUUCUGUCCUCUGUUGCUCAGGGCCCUGUCAGAGAUGGGGCUGCAGGUCUCACGCCUGGUGAAACCCCAUGAAGCUUCCGGCUGCUUUUCCACGCUAUAUUUGGUGUAUGCUGAUCCCUUGCCUAGAACACCCUUUCUUGCUUCCCCUCGUUCUCUCAGCAAACACUAACUCAUCCUGGACAUGUUAUUUUGGGCAUCAGCACCCUUGGGAACCCACCCUGACCAGUCUCCGCACACCUCAGCCCGUCAUGCUGCAUUAAGACUGUCCGUAUAGCCAUCUCUUUCCCACUUACUCGGAGCACUCUGAAGGCAGGGGAAGCUUUCAUCUGCGCUGCAGCGGCCUGGCUAUUGGAUGAGGGCCGCAGAAGAAGAUGUAUUCAGUGACGUAAAAGGCUUUUCCCCAAGGCGAGUGACCCACCAAGGUGAAGGAUCCAAUUUCCCCACUGAGUAGAAAGGAUAAGCAGCCAGCACUUCUUACUGUCCCAGGACAGUUAUCGAAGCUUUAGAAACUUGGGUUUUAGUGGAAAUAGAGUUGCAAGUCCCCGGCAUCGCAUCCACGGAAGGAUGGUGGGCAAGGAGUGGAAAGUCCUUUCCUGGCCGGGGCUCGGCUCCUGGCUAAGGGGCCCCCUGGCCAGUCGUUUCUAUCUGAAGUAGGCCUGCCAUGCACCAUGAGACGCUCAACUUUGGGCGAAUGUUCUAGAACUGUCAGGUUGCUUUCAAAAUGACUCUGGAAUGUUUAUUUCCUUUUGUAAUAAUGAACCCAGGCUUCAGCAACAAUUAACACCCAGCUCCUAGGAGCCAGACGCUUAGGAAAGGCUGCUGUUUUCAUAGAGUUUCAAUGUGGAGAGCUUACGCACACUGAUUCCUAUCUAUGCCUUCCUGGGCUAUGAUAAGAAAUAGUUAAUUAUGUAGAUGGGUGGUGUUGAUUUUUGUAGCCUUUUGCUUUUUACAGUUCCAAACUGCAGAGUAGUGAGAGUGAAUCAGGUGACCUGGCUUAGACGAUAAACAGAGAGAAUGCCUCUCUUUCUCCAUGGAUAACAGCGAUCAUGUUUGUGGCUGCAGGACGGGUUGUGGGGCCCUGAGACCAAGCAACCCGCUGGGCCAGUGAGCAGGCUGGACACCUGUGCCCACAGCUCUGGGUUCCAGUUCCCUGGAGGAAGGUGGAACAGCAUUCUUUUGUUUACUUGGGGUUUUUGUUCACUGACUAACUUGGUUUGAGGCUAAUUCCCUUUCCAGAUACACCAGACCAGGGAA